GUAUCUAAGCUGCCAAGAUGCCAGGGCCAAGACCUCGGAAGGGCCCUCAGGCCAGUGGCCAGGGUGUAGCAGCUGCCAAGCAGCUGGGGCUCUUUGUGGAGUUCAGCACUGAGGAUAUGAUGCUUGGGAUGGAUGAGACCGAAGAUGACGGAGACCUGGAGGCCGAGUUGUUGGCCCUCACUGGGGAAGCAGGGACCACAAAAGAGAAGCCAGCACCCAAGGGGCAGGACAAUGCCUCCCACUCUGAGUCCAGCCUCUUGGGCAGUCCUGGCAUUGCUACCCUUCCGGAUGCAGACCCAGACCCCCGGGCCCUGCUAUUGGCACGACAGAGAGAGUACAAAGUGGCUGCCCUCAACGCCAAGCGGGCUGGAGAGCUGGACCGUGCCCGAGAGCUCAUGAGGAUCGGGAAGCGAUUUGGUGCUGUCCUGGAAGCCCUGGAGAAGGGGCAGCCUGUGGACCUGAGUGCCAUGCCCCCAGUACCUGACGACCUGAAGACUCCUUCACAGGUUGCUGAGGCUCCCGAAGCACCCUCAGUCCCACCCCCAGCAGUGGAACGAGUACAGCCGGUGAUGGCUUCUGACAUCCCAUCAGCCCCAGGUAGGAUCUGAUGGUGGGACUGGGGAGUGGGAACAUGGGGAGGGACACGCGGAGCUGAUGCCCUCCCUUUAUCCCCUUUAAGUGAUCCCUGCAGAGCCACAGACGGUGCUGGAUGCCCUGCAGCAAAGGCUGAACAAGUACCGAGAGGCAGGCACCCAGGCACGGGCCAGUGGGAAUGAGCGCAAGGCCCGGAUGCAUGAGCGCAUCGCCAAGGUGGGACUGGGGAGUGGGAACAUGGGGAGGGACACGCGGAGCUGAUGCCCUCCCUUUAUCCCCUUUAAGUGAUCCCUGCAGAGCCACAGACGGUGCUGGAUGCCCUGCAGCAAAGGCUGAACAAGUACCGAGAGGCAGGCACCCAGGCACGGGCCAGUGGGAAUGAGCGCAAGGCCCGGAUGCAUGAGCGCAUCGCCAAGGUGGGCCCAUGACUCGGCGCCCUGCUGCCCUGUUCUG
rnacentral:lncRNA from 1 species